GUUCUGCAAAGUCCAUCAUUUAUGUCCAAAUACGUCCGUUUUGUUGACCCAUCCAGAACACUUUACAAUGCCAUGUGGCGUGGAUGCAAAUCCAUAGACGAAAUGGUCAAAAGUUCCAUUACCGUUUGUAGAAACACGUCAAACGAUGUUUACAAUCAAUCCUUUAGGGUAUUUUUUUACGUAAAAUUGCGAUAAUUUUACAACCGGGCAAUAGGUAUUCAUCCCAGAAGAAAAUAUUAUAUUUUCUGGGCCAGAGUAGUAAUCUGUUUAAAUUGGGUACGUUUUUCAUCUGGCCGUGAAAAUACUGCCCCUAGCCCCAACAGGUUUUAAGGUAGGGAUGUCCCAAGGAUCCCGGAUAGCAUUGACCAUUGUGCAUUCUUCUGUCUCUUUUUUACAUAGCAAGUGAUAGGUUCUGACUUCUGAACUUGAAAAUAUGAAAUAUCCUUAUUUAUGUCACUGUUUGAGAGAAGGGGAUGUAGAACGUUUACAUUCUGUCAGAAUGUGUUAUUGUUAGAUGUCAGGGAUCCUAUGGAAGGAGAAGGGCCACAGUCUGGUACAAGUCAACAGGACAGCCGUGAGGUGGGGAGGAGAAGGGCCACAGUCUGGAACAAGUCAACAGGACAGCCGUGAGGUGGGGAGGAGAAGGGCCACAGUCUGGAACAAGUCAACAGGACAGCUGUGAGGUGGGGAGGAGAAGGGCCACAGUCUGGAACAAGUCAACAGGACAGCCGUGAGGUGGGGAGGAGAAGGGCCACAGUCUGGAACAAGUCAACAGGACAGCCGUGAGGUGGGGAGGAGAAGGGCCACAGUCUGGAACAAGUCAACAGGACAGCCGUGAGGUGGGGAGGAGAAGGGCCACAGUCUGGAACAAGUCAACAGGACAGCUGUGAGGUGGGGAGGAGAAGGGCCACAGUCUGGAACAAGUCAACAGGACAGCCGUGAGGUGGGGAGGAGUGAGGAAUUUAGGCCGAGGUUAGGUCAGAUGAAGUGAGGAAGAACUGAUAUCACUAAAGUUCUGCCUAGCAACAGAGGUGUAAGGAGGAGACUCAGCAUAAAUGGUUAAAUACCAGUAAGGAGGAGACUCAGCAUAAAGGGUUAAAUACCAGUAAGGAGGAGACUCAGCAUAAAGGGUUAAAUACCAGUAAGGAUGAGACUCAGCAUAAAGGGUUAAAUACCAG
rnacentral:lncRNA from 1 species